UUGGGAAUAUUGCACAAUGGGCGAAAGCCUGAUGCAGCGACGCCGCGUGAAGGAAGAAGGUUUUCGGAUCGUAAACUUCUUUUUUAGGGGACGAUUGUGACGGUACCCUAAGAAUAAGGACCUGCUAACUACGUGCCAGCAGCAGCGGUAAUACGUAGGGUCCGAGCGUUGUCCGGAUUUAUUGGGCGUAAAGAGCAUGUAGGUGGAUCAAUGUGUCCGAUUUUUAAUCUUCAGGCUCAACUUGAAGCUUGGGUUGGAAACUAUUGAUCUUAGAGGGUAGUUGGGGCAAGCGGAAUUAGUGGAGUAGCAGUGAAAUGCGUUGAUCUCACUAAGAACACCAAUGGCGAAGGCAGCUUGCUAAACUAUCUCUGACACUGAGAUGCGAAAGCGUGGGUAGCGAACG
rnacentral:rRNA from 1 species